GGUAUCCAAUCCCCACUGAAAAGAUCACACUUUGGCGACGAAACUGCACACACACACACACAUGGUGAACACUAAAGUUGAAUCCUUUUCGAUAAAUUUUGAAACUUCAACACUAAUUCUUGAAACCCAAUUGGAGGGUAAAGCUUGGGGAACGAGAAUUGUACCGUUGCCGGAAGGAGAUACAGGCGGGGAAUCAAGGGCGAUGAAGAUUGGAGGAGGGACGGUGAAGCUGGAGAUGAUGAAGUAGUAAGCGAGAGCGACGAGGGAGAAGUAGACGGAGAAUUUGAGGAAGGUUCGAGUGAAGGAGGAGGUGGAGGAGGGAGCAGAGGAGGAGGAGGAGGAGGAGGCGUAGUCUAGAGUUUGUUCGUCAAAGUUGGCGCCUUUGGGGGUAGCCAACAGCACUAAUGUUAGUUGUUGCUCCAUUGAAGAAGGGAAGAGAGACUGAGAGAGUGUGUUUG
rnacentral:lncRNA from 1 species